rnacentral:rRNA from 1 species
CCUACGGGCGGCAGCAGUGAGGAAUAUUGGUCAAUGGACGAGAGUCUGAACCAGCCAAGUAGCGUGAAGGAUGACUGCCCUAUGGGUUGUAAACUUCUUUUAUAUGGGAAUAAAAUGUUCCACGUGUGGGAUUUUGUAUGUACCAUAUGAAUAAGGAUCGGCUAACUCCGUGCCAGCAGCCGCGUUAAUACGGAGGAUCCGAGCGUUAUCCGGAUUUAUUGGGUUUAAAGGGAGCGUAGGUGGAUUGUUAAGUCAGUUGUGAAAGUUUGCGGCUCAACCGUAAAAUUGCAGUUGAAACUGGCAGUCUUGAGUACAGUAGAGGUGGGCGGAAUUCGUGGUGUAGCGGUGAAAUGCUUAGAUAUCACGAAGAACUCCGAUUGCGAAGGCAGUUCACUGGACUGCAACUGACACUGAGGCUCGAAAGUGUGGGUAUCAAACAGGAUUAGAUACCCCAGUAGUC